CGCCUGUUUAUCAAAAACAUCUUUUCUUGUUAGUUUCUGAAGUAUGGCCUGCCCGCUGACGUAUUUUGAGUUGAAGGGCCGCGGUAUAUUGACCGUGCAAAGGUAGCACAGUCAUUAGUUCUUUAAUUGUGAUCUGGUAUGAAUGGCUUGACGAGACAUGGGCUGUCUUGGGUGUAGAAUUUGUUGUUGAAUUUUGAGUUUAAGUUAAAAUUCUUAGAUGUUUUUAUGGGACGAGAAGACCCUAUAGAGUUUAACAUUUUAUUGCGUAUUUCUUGUUGUUAGUUUUAAAUUUUUACGUGUCUCUUGUUUUGUUGGGGUGAUGGGAGGAAUUUAUUUAACUCUUCUUUUUGUGUGGUAUAUUGAUGUAUAUAUUAUAUUGAUCCAUUUAUUUUGAUUGUAAGAUUAAAUUACCUUAGGGAUAACAGCGUAA
rnacentral:rRNA from 1 species